GACGAACGCUGGCGGCGUGCCUAAUACAUGCAAGUAGAACGCUGAAGGAGGAGCUUGCUCUUCUGGAUGAGUUGCGAACGGGUGAGUAACGCGUAGGUAACCUGCCUGGUAGCGUGGGAUAACUAUUGGAAACGAUAGCUAAUACCGCAUAACAGUAGAUGUUGCAUGACAUUUGCUUAAAAGGUGCAAUUGCACCACUACCAGAUGGACCUGCGUUGUAUUAGCUAGUUGGUGGGGUAACGGCUCACCAAGGCGACGAUACAUAGCCGACCUGAGAGGGUGAUCGGCCACACUGGGACUGAGACACGGCCCAGACUCCUACGGGAGGCAGCAGUAGGGAAUCUUCGGCAAUGGACGGAAGUCUGACCGAGCAACGCCGCGUGAGUGAAGAAGGUUUUCGGAUCGUAAAGCUCUGUUGUAAGAGAAGAACGAGUGUGAGAGUGGAAAGUUCACACUGUGACGGUAUCUUACCAGAAAGGGACGGCUAACUACGUG
rnacentral:rRNA from 1 species